rnacentral:tRNA from 1 species
GGCCGGUUGGCCCAAUGGCAAGGCGUCUGACUACGACCAAGUAGGAUAUCAGGAGAUUCUGGGUUCGACCCCCAGGCUGGUCA